rnacentral:lncRNA from 10 species
CCGGCUGCUUUGGAAGAAACAUGCUGUAGGUUAACAGAGGAAAGUGGGCUGGGGAUUUGGCUAAGGGAACUGGCUCUCAUGUCCAGUAGUCAUUCGCCUCCCACAUCCUCCUGCCUGGCAGAGCCAGCUCCAUGAGAGAGGCUGGAAAGGCCAUGUACUUGCUUGAAGAGAGGAUGGACAUGCAACCCACUCUGUUCUGGCCGAUGAGACUUACGAAGGAAGUGAGCUGAGGAACUUGGAACAAUUUUUUAUUGCUGACAAAAGGAGACACAUGCAAGAAGAAACUCCACACCUCUCUUCCUGCUCUUUGGUCAUCUGAGGAUCACAGAUUUGGAGUCUAAUUGGAUACAGAGCCUAGAAGCACUUUCCUCCCUGCUUCUUGUUAAGCAAGACAAAUAAAUAUCCUUAUUGUUUAAAA